UGCCAUAUUUAUUUUCUAGCAUUAAUGGUUCAUUCCAAGUUCAAUUUGAACCUGUUUUCUUGCAGUGUUAUGUUCGUUGAGUUGGUCGAGUAACAUUGUCCGUGUAAUCGUUAGUUGUGGAGUUGGUGACUUCUACCUGGAGUUUGAAUGCCCUAGAUCUUUUCUUUUCUCUCUCCUAUUUUCUUUUCAUGUAUUUAGUACGAACAUGACAAUUCCUGUUCCUUUGCAGUGUUGUCUUCCGGCUGAUACUUUUGUCUACGAUAUUCAUAUGGUGAGUUUUAACUCGGUAUAGCAGUUUGUGUUUUGUUCUUCAUGAUUUUGACUGUUAGCUUUGAGAAUGAUGAUAGGCCGUUCCCUCAUCCUAGUUGUGGACACUCAAGAUUGGAGAGUAAGCGUUUAAUGAGCUGUUUAAUGAGCUCUUAUUGGUCGUCAUAUACCAUAUAUGCUGACUGUAUCAUAUAUAGUCAAUUUAUUCAAUCACACGAAUCGUAUGGUUGUUUAUGCUUCCAGUUAUCUCCGAGCAGGAUCACAUGGUGCAUCAGUUGUGGGGGGUUAUUAGUUCUCAGUCUCACUAAUAAGGAUAAGAGGAUUUGAUUGGAUUUGAUUUUAGUUCAAACAUUUUUGGUUGGUGUUCUCUCUCUAGAUGAGGUAUUGGAAUUGAAUCGUGAACACGCUUUUUGUGCAGUUAAACCACGGAGUGUAUUGGAGAUUAACUUCGGGGAUUCAGGAGCAAGAUUUUGUCUGCACAAUUUUCCCAACUUAACUUUGCCAUUUGUUCUCACCUUAUGUUUUGGUUUGAUCUGGUCUUCAUCAGUUUGGCAAGUUGUUUCUUUUGUUUAUUUUCAGCUUUCUGCAUACGUGUUUGCCAUAAUUUGGUACAUUACCCUAAUUGGAGAAUUUUGCUUGAACGCUGUGAGGGGUCUGAAUUAUGUUAGAGCUUUUGGAUUGUUGUGCUGGCCUUAAAACUGUUCUUGCAUGUGAAGUAUUGAAGGAUUUUGUUAUUAGGUUUUAGCUUGAUUUUACUUUACUUCUAAGGGAAAAAUGUAACCAUGAUGGCUUGAUUUCACUUUCUGUUAGGGAAAUUGCAACUAUGAUUUUGUUUUGUGCGCACAUAAGAAACUUCUUUUCGGUUCAUCUCUGUCACUCUUCAUGUUGAGUAGUAUUUGGCAGCAUCUGGAAUUUGCAAGUCGACUUUGAAAUAUUGAAGGACUUCUUCUUGGAUGGUUUAACUAGGAUUUUGUACUUAAAUGAGCGACUUCUGAAUGGUUUUCAAAUUUUCUUCGAAUAGUUUUUAAAGCUUCAUGUUUGGGUUUUCAACUUAAUAUUGUCUUUUGUUCUAUGUUUGGCUCUUCUAUAUUCCACAGGAUCAGUGAUUUGUAUUUGGACUUGGGUAUUGAAGGACCUAAGCAUAACUGGUGGCUGGUUUUUCCUGGAUCUUCACCUUAAUCUCUUCCCUUUUUCCUAUCGUUCAGUGUCUUAUGUUUGUGAGGAGCUGGGAUUGCAAUUGGACUUUCCACGGGUUUUUUAAACCUUCAACCUAAACAUCACUUUUGAGUACUGAAAGAUUUAAGUAUAAUUGGGACAGGUUUUUAACAUCUGCUGCUGGUUUGUUUGGAUUUUCAAAAUUUCUCUCUUUCGUCUGGCAGGAUAAGGGAUUUGUAAUUCGACUUUUGGGUGUUAAGGACUCAAGUAUAACUGAUGACUUUUAACUGGUUAUUAAUUUUUUUUGUUUGUGGAUUUUCACCAUGAUCUCUUCCAUUCUUCUACGGUUCAGUGUCUUAUGUUUGGCAGGAUCUGGGGUUCAAUCUUGAGUAUCGUUGGAUUUAAAGUAUAACUGGGACUGGUUUUUAAAGCUUCAUUGUUUGGGUCUUCAACUUAAUUUUUCUCUUCAAUUUUUCUCUGUUUUACUUUCACAUUCAGCAGGUUUAGGGAUUCAUAAUUGAAUUGGAAUUUUCCUCUUCCGUUCUUGUACGUUUGGGCCAAUAUUCAGCAGGUUUAGGUGUUGAAGGAUCCAAGUGUAACUGGUUACUUCUAAUUGGUUAUUAAAAACAUUUUCUUUUGAGUUUUCACCUCUCUCUUCCGUUCUUCUAUGGGUUCAGUAUGUCUUAUGUUUGGCAGGGAUUUGCAAUUGCAAUUUACUUGGGUUCAACUUGCAUCACUUUCAAGUAUUGAAGGAGUUGAAUAUAACUGUGCCGGGUUUUUAAAGCUUCUGUUUGGAUCUUUUUUUAAGGUUUUUUCUUUCUUUGGAUUUUCAACUUGACUUUUCUCUUUUGCUCUUCUACAUUUGGCUCAUAUAUUAAGCAGGAUCUGGGUUCGGUAAUUGGACUUUGUUCUUGAAGGACCCAAGUAUAACUGGUGACUUCUAACUGGUUAUUACAUUUUCUCUCUAUUUUCACCCUAAUCUUGUCCCUUCUUCUAGUUAUAUUUGGCAGGAGCUGGGAUUUGCUUUUGGAUUUUAAAGUUCAACUUAACAUCUCUUUCUGCUUUUUAUGGGUUUUAAAUAUCAGCUUACCAUUUCACUUUAACUUGGCAUCUCUCUCACUUUCUAUGGGUUUUAGAUAUUCCGUUUACCAUCACUUCGGAGUAGUGAAAGAUUUACAGUACAACUGGUGACUUUUAUCCAACAAACACCACACACAACAAACAAAAGAACACACUAGAACCACUCACGUCUAUUCUACUCUUCUACAUCUGUGAAGCGCCCUUUUACUGCUUAUUGAUUGCAUGUCGGUUUUGUCUGGGUUACUUUUGCAUUUAUUUUGAAUGCAGGAUCUUAAGGUGGUCAGAUACACCCGGUUAGGCAUGGUUAUUUGUUAGGUGUUAUGAUUAUAUGCUUCUUUGUUUGAAGAUCUCUACUAUUCAAUUCUUUAUGUGAUUUGUCAAGUUAGUAGAAUUCUUUGUGAAAAUACCCCUCAAAUUUCAUAAUGUAGGUAGGUUAGCACAGUAAGUAUGAAAUUUGAAAUGGAAAUGAUGCUCUUAUUCAUCUAUAUUACUUUUCCUCCUCGGGGGACUUGAUUGCCUCUUAACUUUGCAUGGAAUUUUGUUGUAGCCUCGGGUGAAUCUCGGUGAGGGAAUGUUCUUGUUGCUAGGGAUUUGGAUAUUACUGUGGUAGCAAAGGGUUCAGGAAUUUUAUUUAUUUAAUUCAUGGUGAAUUACGAAGUUUUUUUUUUUUUAUUGAGGUUUACCAUCAUUUUGCGAACUUGCUUUUCCGCAGUUUGCGAACCCCAUUUUUUGGCUGAUUUCAAUCUUGGGGAAGCGGAAGAUCACUGGCGUUCAGGAGUUGGUAGCUGUUUCUGAAAUCUGAACUCUUCUAAUGCAUUCUGUAAUUUUUCUCGUUUGGGAGAACUGUGGUCUAACUUCUGUGCAGUUCGAGUGAGUACUCUGGCAUGCGGAGAAAAGGGGUGUUCAGGGAAUGGCUGGGGUGAUUGGUGGUUCUACAGCAGUUAUGGUGUUUUUUUCUGUUCUGGAAGCAGGAUAAUUGGUUUUAAUUCUUGUCUGUUGUCGCCCAUCUAUAUUAUUUGAUAUCUGCAGUCUGGUGAAGAUAUUUUCCAUGUGCAAAUGUAGUGGUUUCUGUAGUAUGCCAUGGUUCAAGAGCAUCCCUCAUCUUCUCUAGCAAAAGAAGUAAAAGCAGAACGAUGUUUUUUGAGGUUGCUCAGGGAAAAGAACGAACAUAUGAAUGGAGUGUUAUUCAUUAUUUGCUGGAUUGGAAUUAUGAUUUUCUCUGCUUAAGUAUGGCGAGUUUUCUUGGAUGGUCUGUUAGCUGGAUUGAAGAUCCUGGAAGUUUGGUUGAGCUUUUCUAAUUUGAUGAUCUGGAACUGUUUUCUUGAUUGUUCAGGCGAGAUCUUGAUUGGGAACGCUAGCUUUUUGUGGGUUAUUGGAGGAUGAAUUCUGCUUCUUCCUAAAUCCGAAAAAACUGAGAACUCUCUUUACACCCUGCUUUUUCUGAAACUUCUAUUCUUGAACUAUUGUUCUUAUGUAUAGAGAUUUAGCUACGCUUUUGGUUGUUGAACAUGGCUUUUCUUUCACCGGACUGUUUUCCUGAUUAUUCAGGCGAGAUGUAGAAUGUGAACGUUUGCUUGUUGGUGAUUGGAGGAUGGAUUCUGCUUUUGCCCGGAUCAGAAGAAACCGAGAACUUUUACCCUUGCUUUUUUUUUUCCCCUGAAACUUCUUUUCUUCGACUGUUCUUAUCAUCAUUAUGUAGAGGGAUUCAGCUUCGGUUUUGCUUGCUUUGCAGUGCAUUCGGGAGGUUGAGAUUUGUAGACCGGAGGUAUUGGAAGAAUUUACUGCUAUAAUCGACAGGGACGACUAGAUAUCUAAUUCCUUAAAACAGAACAGAUUCUUUACUUUUAUCCGUUUUUUAAGAUUCAAUUAUAAAUUAUAAAUCAUGCAUGUGAAUUAAAAUGUGUAUUAUAUUCUAUGCAGCAUUGUCCACCUUGAAGCGUGGUUUUGAGUGCGACACAUACGGAGGAUAGAGAACAAGAACAGUUUUUUUAACUUUCUUUCCCUGCAUUUUCUUUCCCAACCUACUGUGCUAGCAUUGUGAAUUAAAUGUGGAUGUGUUCCUAUGCAGUGUUGUCUGAUAUUGUUACCCGCGGGUGUUGAGUGCAUCCUGGUUGAUAUGUUUCUUGCACUUGCCUGGUUCAUUUGUUUAAGUUUUGUUUUUUUUUUGUUUUUUUUUAUUUAAAUAAUUGACUGCUUUGGUUCCUUGUUCUUUUCAUAAUUCUGUUUUUCCUGGAAAUCGGUUUAUGUUUCUCUUUUUUGCCUUAGGAGCCAAUUGAAGGACAUGGGAUUGCACUUUGGCGAUGUGUCCAAGAUUCCGAAAUUGAUAAUUCCCUCAUAACAUAUGCAUGAACUUUUUUAGUAUUAAAUAAUAGUUUGAUUACGUUCUUCUCUUGUUUAUGUCAUGCAAUGCUUUAAAUUGGUUGCAGAAAUCUGGAAUAAUGGAUAGAAGAUAUAUGGCAGGAGGGCUCAAAAUAAUACAAGCAUCAUAAUCUGAUUAACUUCUCUUUUUCAACUAUGUUGUGUUAAUGGUCGUGCAAAAUUCAAUUUGAACUUGGUUCUCUUGCAGUGUUAUCGUUUUGGUCGGGAAACAUUGUGUAGCUGGUGACUUCUGUACCUGGAGUUUGGACGCACUGGAUUUCUCGUUUCUUUUUUUUUUUUAAUUUUUUUUUGCUAGUUCAUAUGCAUAAGUAUGCGGAUAUCAAUUGAAUUUCAUCUGUUCAUUUGCAGUGUUGUCUUCCAAUCAUACUUUUGGCAACGGCAUUCAUGUAUAAUGGUGACUUCUAACUGGCUUUAGUGUUCUCUGUGUCUAACGUCUUGUUCCUGUGCAUUUCAUUUCUUCGAUGUUCUUCCAUAUUGCUUGGGCAGGAGUGUUCUUUGAUUUGUUUUUCCUGUGAAUUUCUAUCUAGUCGUUUAUAGAAUUGUUCUCGGAUUUGUGGAUUUCGGAUUUGGUUAGCUGCUGAUCAAGAUCUUUCUGAAUUUGAUAAUUGUGGGAAUAUUUACAGUUUCACAGGGAAAAGAACUAGGCUAUGAACAUAUGGACAGGGUGCUAUUCUUGUUUGUUGGCUUGGAACUAUGAUUUUCUCUCUUUAGGUGUAGCGAAUUAUGUGGAUGAUGUGUUAGCUUCAUUUAAGAUCUUUUCUGGUAGUUUGGUUGAGCUUUUCUAAUUUGAUGAUCUGGUUCAGUGAUAGUUGUGUUGUUUGAACAUGGCUUUUCUUUCAUGCAGCUGUUCUGUUGAUUGUUAAUGCGACAUUAUCUGGAUUAUGAAUGCCCGCUUUUUUGUUGGUGUUUGGAGGAUGAAUUCUACUUUUGCCCAGAUCUGAAGAAACUAAGAACUCUCUGAAUCCUUGCUUUUCCUGAAAAUUCUCCUAUUCUAUACUAUUGUUAUUCCUGGAGAGAUUUAGGUUUGCUUGUUUUUGCUUGGCUUGCAGUGUAUUUGGGAGAUUGGGGAAUUAUAGAUCAGAAGAAUAUUCUGCAAGACAGGAGGAUCAUAUAUCUAAUUCCACAAAAGCAAUCUGACUCUCUUUACAUUUUAUUUCCUUGAUCAUUUAACUAAAUAUUAUAAAGCAUGCAUUAUGAAUUAAAACGUAGUUUAUAUUCUAUGCAGCAUUGUAGCCGGGUUGUUGAGCACGAUGCAUACAGUGGAUGGAAUCUAGUUUCCUAAAACAGUUUUUCCAAACUCCUUUCCUUUUUGUUCAUUCCAACCUACUGUGCUAGCAGCAUUUGAAAGUCUUUGGUUUCCUGUGCAGUAUUGUCCGAUCAUGGGUGUUGAGUGCAUCCUGGUGAUAUGCUUUUGCAUUUGUCUGGUUCAUUUGUUUAAUUGUUUUUUUUUUUUAAUUUCAAAUUUGCUACUUUGUGUUGUUUUCUUUGUUAUUCUCUCCUGCUUGGAAAUCGGUUUUUGUUUCUCUUUUCCUUAGGAACCAAUUGAAGGGUAUGGGAUUGCACCAAGACUGUGUUCAAUAUUCUGAGAUUGAUAUGUUCUUGUAUUAUUCUUUUUUCUUUCUGCCCCCUAAAUAUUAUAUAAAUAACUUGAUUAUAUAGUCAUUUCACGUUGUUUAUGACCUCCAAUGCUUUUCAUUGGUUGCAGCAAUUUAAAGUUUUGGAUUAGAAGAUAUGAUUUGGAAAAGAAGCUUUGCAACAAUAAUAGAGGCUCAUGAUCUUGGAUUAAACCCGUCUUCUCUAUUGAAUUUUUCUGCCAUAUUUAUUUUCUAGCAUUAAUGGUUCAUUCCAAUUUCAAUUUGAACCUGUUUUCUUGCAGUGUUAUGUUCGUUGAGUUGGUUGAGUAACAUUGUCCGUCUAAUCCGAGUUAGAUGUGGAGUUGGUGACUUCUACUUGGAGUUUGAAUGCCCUAGAUCUUUUCUCUUGUCUCUUCUAAUUUCUUCCCAUGUAUUUAGUAUGAACAUGACAAUUCCUGUUCCUUUGCAGUGUUUGUCUUCCAGUCAAUACUUUUGACUACCAUAAUCUUAUGGUGACUUCUAGCUCGGUAUAGUAGUUUGUGUUUUGUUUUUCAUGAUUUUGACCAUUUGCUUUGAGAAACCUGUUGUUCCCUCAUCCUACUUGUGGACACACUUUCAAGAUUGGAGAGUAAGCGUUUAAUGAGCUCUUAUUGGUCAUCGUUUAUCAUAUAUGCUGACUGUAUAUUAUAUAUACUCAAUUUUGCUUUUUAUCUCAGCAAUAUAUUUGGCCGAGCACAUAAAAGAUUGGAUUCAAUAACGUGAAUAGUAUAGUUGUUUGAGCUUCCAGCCAUCUCUGAGCUGAAUCACACUGUGCAUUGGUUUUGGGCGUUAUUAGUUCUCAGUCUCACUAAUAAGGAUAAGAGGAUUUGAUUUUAGUUCAACAUUUUUGGUGGUGUUUUCUCUUUGGAUGAGGUAUUGGAAUUGAAUCGUGAACAUGCUUUGUGCAGUUAAAUGACCGAGUGUAUUGGAGGUUAAUUUGGGGGGUUCAGGAGCAAGAUUUUGUCUACUAUAGUUUUCCCACCUCAACUUUGCCAUUUGUUCUCACGACGUGUUUUGGUUUGUGGUUUGAUCUGGUCUUCCAUCAGUUUGACAAGCUAUUUCUUUUGUUUAUCUUCAGCUUUACGUGUUUACCAUGGCACACUACCCAUAAUUGGAGAAUUUUGCUUGAACGCUGCGAGGGGUCUGAAUUAUGUUGAAACUGUGUUGGAUUGUUGUGCUGGCCUUAAAACUCUUCGGUGAAGUAUUGAAGGAUUUUCUGUUAUUAGGUUUUAACUUGUCUUGAUUUUACCUUACUACUAAGGAAAACUUGUCUUGAUUUCACUUUCUAUUAGGGAAAUUGCAACUAUGAUUUUGCUCUCUGUGUGCAAAACUGGAAACUUCUUUUCGGUUCAUCUUUGUCACUCCAUGUUGAGUACCAUGUGUUUGGCAGCAUCUGGAAUUUGCAAGUCGACUUUGAAAUAUUGAAGGACCUCUUCUUGGAUGGUUUAACUAGGAUUUUGUACUUAAAUGAGUGACUUCUGAAUGGUUUUCAAAUUUUUGUUGUAUAGUUUUUUAAAGCUUUGUUUGGAUUUUCAACUUAUUAUUGUCUUUUGUUCUAUGUUUGGCUCUUCUAUAUUCCACAGGAUCAGGGAUUUGUGUUUGGACUUGAGUAUUGAAGGACCUAAGCAUAACUGGUGACUGGUUUUUUCUGGAUCUUCACCUUAAUCUCUUGCCAUUUUAUACGAUUCAGUGUCUUAUGUUUGGCAGGAGCUGUGAUUUGCAAUUGGACUUUCUAUGGGUUUUAAACCUUCAACCUAAACAUCACUUUGGAGUACUGAAAGAUUUAAGUAUAAUUGGGACUGGUUUUUAAAAGCUGCUGCUGCUUUGUUUGGAUUUUCAAAAUUUUUCUCUUUCGUCUGGCAAGAUAAGGAAUUUGUAAUUGGACUUUGGGUGUUAAGGACGCAAGUAUAACUGAUGACUUAUAGCUGGUUGUUAAAUUUUUUUGUUUGUGGAUUUUCACCAUGAUGAUCUCUUCCAUUCUUCUACGGUUCAGUGUCUUAUGUUUGGCAGGAUCUGGGGUUCAAUCUGGAGUAUUUCUUCUACGGUUCAGUGUCUUAUGUUUGUGGAUUUUCACCAUGAUGGUCUCUUCCAUUCUUCUACGGUCCAGUGUCUUAUGUUUGGCAGGAUCUGGGGUUCAAUCUGGAGUAUUUCUUCUACGGUUCAGUGUCUUGUGUUUGGCAGGAUCUGGGGUUCAAUCUGGAGUAUCGUAGGAUUUAAAGUAUAACCGGGACUGGUUUUUAAAGCUUCUACUUAAUUUUUCUCUUCCGUAUUUCUACGUUUGGCUUUCACAUUCAGCAGGUUUAGGGAUUCAUAAUUCAAUUGGAAUUUUCCUCUUCCGUUCAUAUGCGUUUGGCUAAUAUAUUCAGCAGGUUUAGGUAUUCAGCAGGUUUAGGUGUUGAAGGAUCUAAGUGUAACUGGUUACUUCUAAUUGGUUAAAAACAUUUAAAAGUUUUCACCUCUCUCUUUCGUUCUUCUAUGGGUUCAGUGUAUCUUAUGAUUAUCUGGGAUUUGCAGGAGUUGAAUAUAACUGGGCCGGGUUUUUAAAGCUUCUGUUUGGAUCUAUUUUAAAAGCUUUUUCUUUCUUUGGAUUUUGAAUGACUUUUCUCUUUCGCUCUUCUACAUUUGGCUCUCAUAUAUUCAGCAGGGUUGGGUAAUUGGACUAGGUUUAGGGAUUCAUAAUUCAAUUGGAAUUUUCCUCUUCCGUUCUUGGGCGUUUGGCUAAUAUAUUCAGCAGGUUUAGGUGUUGAAGGAUCUAAGUGUAACUGGUUACUUCUAAUUGGUUAAAAACAUUUAGAAGUUUUCACCUCUCUCUUUCGUUCUUCUAUGGGUUCAGUGUAUCUUAUGAUUAUCUGGGAUUUGCAGGAGUUGAUUAUAACUGGGCCUGGUUUUUAAAGCUUCUGUUUGGAUCUAUUUUAAAAGCUUUUUCUUUCUUUGGAUUCGAAUGACUUUUCUCUUUCGCUCUUCUACAUUUGGCUCUCAUAUAUUCAGCAGGGUUCGGUAAUUGGACUUUGGUCUUGAAGGACCUAAGUAUAACUGGUGACUUCUAACUGGUCAUUAUAUUUUUUCUGUAUUUUCACCCUAAUCUAGUAAUCUUCUCCAUUCUCCUAGUUAUAUCUGGCAGGAGCCGGGAUUUGCAUUUGGAUUUUAAAUGUUGAACUCAACAUCUCUUUCGACUUUCUAUGGAUAAAUAAUCAGCUUACCAUCUCACUUCAAUACCACACACAACAAACAAAAGAACACACUACAACCACUCACGUCUAUUCUACUGUUCUACAUCUGUGGUUCCCUUUUCUGCUUAUGGUGGAGGGCCCCUCUUCGUCUGGAUUACUGUUGCAUUUAUUUUGAAUGCAGGAUCUUAAGGUGGUCGGAGUAUCCGGUUAGACAUGGUUAUGUAUUACGUGCUAAUUAUAUGCUUGGUUAUUUUGAAUGCACUAUUCAAUUCUUUAUGUGAUUUGUCAAGUUAAUUGAAUUCUUUGUGAAAACACCACUCAAAUUUCAUAAUGUAGGUUACAGUAAGUAACUGAAGCUUGAGAUGGAAAUGAUGUUUUUAUUUAUCUAUAUUAAUUUUCUUCCUUGGGGGACUCUUAUUACUUCUUAACUUUGCAUAAUGUUCUUGUUGCUAAGGAUUUGGAUAUUACCGUGGUAGCAAAGGGUUCAGGAAUUUUGUUAUUUGUUUACUUCAUGAUGAAUUAUGAAGUUUUCUUUAUCGAGGUUUACUAUCAUUUUGCAAAGUUGCUAUCGUGCAGUUUGCGAACCCGGUUUUUGGCUGAUUUCUAUCUUGGGGCAGCAGAAGAUCAGGCUGGCAUUUCAGGAGUUGGUAGCUGUUUCUGAAAUCUGAACUUAUCUGAUGCCUUCUGUAUUUUUCUCUUGCUUGGGAGCAUUGUGGACUAAUUUCUAUGCAGAGAUGUUGAGGGAAUGGUUGGGUUGAUUGGUGAUUCUACGACAGUUAUGGUGGUUUUUUUUUUCUCUGGAAGCAGGAUAAUCGGUUUUAAUUGUUUGAUUCUAGUCUCUUGUCUCGCAUGUAUAUUAUUUGAUAUCUGUGGUCUGGUGAAGAUACUUUCCAUGUGCAAAUGUAGUGGUUGCUGUAGUAAGCUAUGAUUCAAGUGCAUCCCUCAUCUUCUCUAGCAGAAGUAAAAGCAGAACGAUGUUUUUUAUGGUCUGCAUUUUCUGUCGCCCGUGCUUUCACUUUUGACUUGGAAAGCCGUUUCAUUUUGGAUUGUUUAUAAUAUGUGUUUUAGUGUCCCUUGUAAGUAGCCCUUCUCUUUGUUUAUUCUUAACUUCUGACACACUACAGAAUGGUUGGUGCUAUUGGUGGUUGUUACAAGUCAACUUGUAUGUCUUUGAAGUAGCAUGCUUGUGCAGUUAUCUCUCGCAGCUUUGCAGUAAAUUUUGUGUAUCUACUUUUCCAGUGAUUUUUUGGGAUUUGAAAUUUUAUUUGGAUUCUGGAUGGCUGGUAGAGUCGACAUGCAGUUUGUUAUGUGAUCUUUAGGCCAUUUUUAUAUGUUCUGAAUGGUUUCUUUUGCGGGGUGUGUGCUGGUCGAUGUGCAUUGAUUUUGAAUGGGGUAACUAGAAGGUAUUUCGGAGGCUCUGAUCAUGUGCUUAAAAUAAAAGGCCGCAAUGUACGUGUUGUGUUGGUUCCAACAGUAUACGAGUGGUAGAAUGGUUGUGUACCUAAUAAAAUGCGCCCUGGGGGUUAGCUUUUACAUUGCUUCUGAUUCCAAUGUUUUCGGGUGGGAUAUAUGUCGUGUUCGUGUGUGUGUAGGAUAUGUUUCAGGUAUUUAAUUGGAGCGGCAUCAUGGAGGAACAUUUGCCUAUAGCCAAGAAAAAUGGUUUAGCCGUUUUUUCCUUUACUGUUUCUUCUUUCCUGAUUUCACUGUGUAAAAUGGUUUAGCCGUUUUUUUCUUUA